rnacentral:rRNA from 1 species
UACGUAGGGUCCGAGCGUUGUCCGGAAUUAUUGGGCGUAAAGGGCUCGUAGGCGGUUUGUCACGUCGGGAGUGAAAACUCAGGGCUCAACCCUGAGCGUGCUUCCGAUACGGGCAGACUAGAGGUAUGCAGGGGAGAACGGAAUUCCUGGUGUAGCGGUGGAAUGCGCAGAUAUCAGGAGGAACACCGGUGGCGAAGGCGGUUCUCUGGGCAUGUCCUGACGCUGAGGAGCGAAAGUGUGGGGAGCGAACAGG